UGUUACACAAAAACAGUGAAUGGUUGAAUCAAGUGAGUUGUGUUCAGACUGUGGUAAAACUACAGUAAGUUUAACUCCCAUCUUGAUGUUUUCUACGGAGACAUUGAAUGACAAACACAUCUGUGUUGUGGACCAAAAAAAAGCAAGCCACUCCUAAACAGAACCUCUGAUCACCACUAUUGCUGUGGUAAAAAACAGUAUCACAGCACAACUCAAAGCUGCUGUAACGUAAAAGGAAGUCUUGGUGAGUUACAAGAACCAAACACAUUGUGUUUAUUAUUGUCCAUAAUUGUUUUUGCUGCUUCGCACCAGAUUCCAGAGAGAUUGUGACCUCUGAACUCAUUUAACCAGACAUUAUGUACAAACGUGUCACAGUGUCGUGAGUUUAAAUAGUAACAUUAACAUUAGUUACAGUAGCAAUAUGUUCAGAUUGAGGUAGAAGUGAGUUUAACUCCCAUCCUGAUCUUUUCCACAGUGAUAUUAAAUGACAACGGACAUCUGUGUUGUGGACCAAAAGAUAACAAGACAGUCCUCAACAGAGCCUCUGAUCACCACUAUUGCUGUGGUAAAGAACAGUAUGACAACAGAAAUCAAAGAUGCUGUCACGUUAAAGGAAGUCUUGAAAUACUGAAUAACAGCAAACAGCUGUGUUGUGGACCAGAUUAUGACAAGACCGUCCUGACCAGAACCUCUGAUCACCACUAUUGCUGUGGUAAAGAACAGUAUGACAACAGAAAUCAAAGUUGCUGUCACGUUGAAGGAAGUCUUGGUGAGUUACAAGAAUCGAACAUAUUGUAUUCAUUAUUGUCCAUAAUUAUUAAUGCCACAGUUAAACACGGAUGUCUAUAUCAAAACCUGAUCUCAAAACCUGAUU
rnacentral:lncRNA from 1 species